UACGAAGGGUGCAAGCGUUACUCGGAAUUACUGGGCGUAAAGCGUGCGUAGGUGGUUCGUUAAGUCUGAUGUGAAAGCCCUGGGCUCAACCUGGGAAUGGCAUUGGAAACUGGCGACCUAGAGUGCGGUAGAGGGUAGUGGAAUUCCCGGUGUAGCAGUGAAAUGCGUAGAGAUCGGGAGGAACAUCUGUGGCGAAGGCGACUGCCUGGACCAGCACUGACACUAAGGCACGAAAGCGUGGGGAGCAAACAGG
rnacentral:rRNA from 1 species